GCCUAGGUGGGAUUAGCUAGUUGGUGAGGUAAGGGCUCACCAAGGCGACGAUCCCUAGCUGGUCUGAGAGGAUGAUCAGCCACACUGGAACUGAGACACGGUCCAGACUCCUACGGGAGGCAGCAGUGGGGAAUAUUGCACAAUGGGCGCAAGCCUGAUGCAGCCAUGCCGCGUGUGUGAAGAAGGCCUUCGGGUUGUAAAGCACUUUCAGUCGUGAGGAAGGUAGUGUAGUUAAUAGCUGCAUUAUUUGACGUUAGCGACAGAAGAAGCACCGGCUAACUCCGUGCCAGCAGCCGCGGUAAUACGGAGGGUGCGAGCGUUAAUCGGAAUUACUGGGCGUAAAGCGCAUGCAGGUGGUUUGUUAAGUCAGAUGUGAAAGCCCGGGGCUCAACCUCGGAAUUGCAUUUGAAACUGGCAGACUAGAGUACUGUAGAGGGGGGUAGAAUUUCAGGUGUAGCGGUGAAAUGCGUAGAGAUCUGAAGGAAUACCGGUGGCGAAGGCGGCCCCCUGGACAGAUACUGACACUCAGAUGCGAAAGCGUGGGGAGCAAACAGGAUUAGAUACCCUGGUAGUCCACGCCGUAAACGAUGUCUACUUGGAAGGUUGUGGCCUUGAGCCGUGGCUUUCGGAGCUAACGCGUUAAGUAGACCGCCUGGGGAGUACGGUCGCAAGAUUAAAACUCAAAUGAAUUGACGGGGGCCCGCACAAGCGGUGGAGCAUGUGGUUUAAUUCGAUGCAACGCGAAGAACCUUACCUACUCUUGACAUCCAGAGAACUUUCCAGAGAUGGAUUGGUGCCUUCGGGAACUCU
rnacentral:rRNA from 1 species